AUGAAGAUUUCAUACUGUGAAAAUUGGAGCAUGGAUGUUGACGGGAAAGUUAGUUACACCAUUGUUGAGUUGAAGAGCGAUGAAGAUAUGAAGGUCAUGUGGAAAUCAUACCGCUAUAGGCUAACUAAGGGGCCGUUGGAAUUGAAAGCGCGACUUGCCAGAUCUGUCAAUAACAUAAUUAAGAUGGAACGUCCAAAAUCAUCCCGUAGUGUCUAG